CUUGGCGACCAUAGGCAAAACCUGGGUGGACUGAGGUAAGGCUUGAGUCUUCACUUUGCUUAUAGCGCCGAUGGUAGUGUGGGGUUUCCCCAUGUGAGAGUAGGACAUCGCCAGGC
rnacentral:rRNA from 1 species